AGAUCAACAUGUCGGUCGUGCCUCCGGUACGUACUGGUAUCGUUGAUUUCUACCUUCUGACGAACCAUGAUGUCAUUAAUUUGGUGUCAUGGGGAAUCAGGACUGUUACUUUGAAAAAAUUAGAGUGUUUAAAGCAGGCACACGCUUGAAUACAUUAGCAUGGAAUAAUGAAAUAGGACGUUUGACCCUAUUUUGUUGGUUUCUAGGAUCGACGUA
rnacentral:rRNA from 1 species